CAUCAAUCAGGUCGAAAUUGCGAGUGGACGUUCCAUUGGGAUCCUUGGUCGUGAAGAAGUGUGCUGGCAAGUACGUAGGAGCUGCAGAGGUGGCCACACAAAUGUCUGCUAGCCUAGCAUUUUUCAAAGCAUUAGUCUUUCCCUGUAAAACAAAAGAAAAAUUAAAGAUCAGUUAACUUGUGACUUUCGAAGUACAGAAAGAUUUUUUCUAACUGGCUUAAUAGUUACUAGCAUCAUACUUCAGUGGUGGAGAAGAUCACUGGUUGAAGGAGCUUCAUGUCAAAAGUAGGCAAAAUAACAUUUGUGAGGGUCUGUGUGAUAGUCAAGUCUCCUAGCAAAUUGUUCGUCAAUGACCUCAGAUACUUCCCAUCAUACUUUGGCCCCCCAAAGAAAAUUGACAGCGGACCUAACAGGUUACUAUUCAACGGAUCGAAGUGAAUAUCCACGAAAAAAAAAACCAAAUUAGUAACAGUCAAAAUACUUCGAAACAAUGCUUCAUCAUGCUAAUAUGGAACUUUUCUCUUACAAGUCCUGUACUGGCAGCUAAACCAUGUGGAGAAAAGAAUGGAUCCAGUACUGGAAUUCACCUUUUCUGAGGGAAAAUCUUGGGGCUGUGAUCUAAAUAGAAGUCAAUGAUGUCCUUUGCUGCAUACAUGGGUCUGUUUUCCUUAUUAGGAGCUGCAAGCAUGGUGGCUACCAGUCCACCAGUGCUCGUCCCAGCAAUGAUGUCAAAAUAAUCUGCAAUCCUUGCCUGUGACCCGUCCAGCUCCUAACAAAUAACCAAGCAUAAGCAUAAACGAAAAGAUGAGAUGGAAGGACAUGGUUUGGUUAGUAAAUUAACUACCUGAAGUUUGGAUUCAAGAAAGCCAAGAAGGGAACCCGGAAUUAUGCCUCUAAUGCCACCUCCAUCAAUGCUUAGCACUGUUGCCACCCUUCUCUUAACAAAACCAGUAGCCAUAUCGGUUUCAACUUUCAAGAGAGAUGGGUGCUCAAUUUAACAAAACAGUACUAGUUAUGUUCCAGUACUGGUUGCUGGGUAUGAAUAUGCAUCUAAGCGAUCGAUUAGUCUUUAUAAAGGAAAGACUCCAACGACCUCGCCAUAAAGAGUCUACGGGCAUGUUUAUUUUUAUAUUUAAAAAUUAUUUAAAAACAAAUUAAUUUUUUUUAUUUUUUUCCUUUAAAUUAUUUUUUUAUUUUAAAUCAUAUAAUAAUGUUAAAAACCGUUCUUUAAAAAAAAUUAUUAUUUUAAUAUAUUUUCAAGUAAAUUAUUUAAAUUAUAUUAAUAUAAUAUUUUUUAAAUUUAGUUUUAGUAUUAGUAUAAGUAUAUUAAAAUAAUUUAAAAUUUUAAAAAUAAUUAAUUUAAAACAUAAAAAAAAUUAAUUUUAAUUUUUUUAAAAAAAAACUCUAAAUUACUUUAAAUUUCGAUAAACGGCGGCCUUGGACAAUGUAUGUGUUGACCCGCCUAUGGUAAUUAUUGAACUUCUUCUUCUUUUUUUUAGUUUAACGUGGGUGUUCGGGCCAGCUUGCGCGCACCUCGACUAAUCCCACAGGCCCUGAAAUUAACGACCAUGUAAGCCUCCAGUGGUCAUUAUAUGAGUAACCACAGGGUUUGAACCUGAGACUACAGAGGAAGCAAACCUCUUGAUCCCAAACUCUUACCACUAGGCCACCACCUAGAUGGUUUUAUUGAACUUCUUUAUUUUCAUGGCUGGAGUACCUUCCUUGAUUGGACAAAGCUACGAAUCAUGCCAAUAUGCAAAACAUAUUGUCAUCUUAUUAGAAUGAAUGAAAUCAAUGAACAAAUCAUCUUACAUAAUCAAGUUCUUAAAAUAAAUUUUAAUAGAUGCACAGUUCUCUAUCAUAGACUGAUUCAUGAAUUAAUUUUUCUUGGAUGUAUAUGAGAUAAAGUAAUCUAUGUAUGUGUGCUAGUGUGUCAUGCGCUUUUAUAAAAGUAGAUUGAAAUUCACUUUCAAAUAUUUUUUUAAUAUUGACAGUUGUCGUUCAACCAAAUAAUUUAUUGUGGACUUAUUAUAUAUUUAUGUAUUGUGUACUAAGAAACAAUUAACUAUGAACUUGUACAAUUGCUCUGCUAUGUAUUAAAACAUAUGAGGAUUUUUUUAUUGUACAUGUAUUGUGAAUCAAGAUACAAUUCACUGUAAACGACAUUGUAGCACCCCCGCAUUUCUUUCCUAUGAUUUUAGUCAAGAAUUGUGGCUGAGGGCGUGGCAUCUCUGUUAAAAGCCGUUGGGUCUGGCUUUGGUAGUCGGACCCCACGCUGUUGGGUCUGGUUGACAAGUCAGACCCAAAACACUUCCCAAACACUAUAGCGCCUAUGGGGGGCGGAAUGACAAUCAAUUAACGCAUAAGGAUUUCGACUAUACAUGAAUGCACUGUGGACUAAGAGACAAUUCACUGUGGACUUACUGUACAUAUAUGAACUGUAGACCAAGAGACAAUUAUAUGUGGACUUACACAGUUGCUUUGUUAUGUAUUAAAAUGUAUAGGGAUUUUUUUACUGUGGAUCAAGAUACAAUUCAUUGUAGACGAUAUUGUAGCACCCUGAAAGGCGUUUCUUUCCUGUGAUUUUAGUCAAGAAUUGUGGUUGAGGGCAUCUUUGCCAAAAUCCGUUGGGUCUGGUUGACAAGCCAGACCCGAAACACUUCACAGACACUGUAGCGCUUGUGGGGGGGAUUGCAAUUGGUUAACGCACAACUAGGUAAGGGAAUCUCAUUUCUUUUUCGCGUGCAGCAUGCUCCGGAGGAGAUCACCCCUUCCUCGAGCCAGUCUAGUCAAUAAAAGGGAAGGCCUGCUGAUUGCAUUUUAGGAGUUUGAACAUCAUCUCAUUUCAACCAAAAAUACAACCCCGUUAAAGGUAUCAAAUGGGUCCUGCACACGUCAGGACCCAACACCCAAUUGGGUUUUGCACAUGUCAGGACCCAAAGCAAAUUGCAUGUAUUUAAUAAACGUGAUACUAUUUCUCAAGCAAACCAUAACAGCUCUCCCAAUGUUAUAGAGAGACCCAAUGUGAGAGCAAAUAGGUGUCAUUAUUGAUGCUACAACCCCGCUUAGUUAAUGUACAAAUUGACAGCAAACAGCUCUCCCUAUAUUGUAGCUAACCUAAGAAAACAAAUGAACAAAGACUAGCCAAGCCAAACCUUACGCAGGUUAAUAAAAACAACAGAGAACCAAACAAAUCCCCAACAAACUCAGCCAAAGUCUGCAAUAGCCAACCCAAUCGUGAGCCUAAACGAAAGCGAAAAAAACUCAAGGGAAUGUUACAAUCCACAGUCCCAUGAGUCUUAAUGAACAAUAUUUUUACAACAUAAUUUAGAUUCUGAGACAAUUCACUGUGGACUUACUGUAAAUAUAUGCACCGUGGACCAAGAGACAAUUAACUAUGGACUUACACAAUUGCUUUGCUAUGUAUUAAAAUGUAUGGGGAUUUUUUACUCUAAAUGCACUGUGGACCAAGAUACAAUUAACUGUAGACGACACUGUAACACCCUGGGGGGCGUUCCUUUCCUGUGUUUUUAGUCAAAAAAAAAAUUUUCCUUUACUUCAGAUUAAGAUUUUUAUUACUUUUAAUUUUGUUCUCUAAUAUUGUCAUAUUAAAGUUGAUGUAGCUCUCAAAAAAAAUUUGAUUCGCAUCAUAUACUUUAUAAAAUUUUGGUAUUGUAUAAGAGAAUUUUUGAACACCACAAUCCAUUCAAAAAUAAUUUAUAAAUAUUACAAUAUAAUUUUAUUUUGGGUAAUAGAAGAUAUGUUAAUUUUAUAACAUUAGUGUAUGAGAUUCAAAGUUUUAUCAAUGUUUUAUUGUCUUUAGAUUUUUUAUGCAGUGGUUUUGAAUUAUAUAUAUUAUUAAAUACAUGUAAUAUUGGGUAAAAUUGCUUUCGGUCCUUACAUGUGCAAGAUCCAAUUGGGUGUUGGGUCCAGCGGGUGCAGGACCCCAAACAACUUUGGGUCUUGCUGGAUUCAGGACCCAAAUAGCUUUGGGUCCUGCGGGGUAAUUUUAGGUCCUGCACCCAUUGGACCCAAAGCUAUUUUGGGUCCUACACCCGUUGGACCCAACACCCAAACGAGUCUUACAUCCUGCAGGACACAACACCAAAUUAGGUACUGCACAUAUUAGGAUCCAAUUUAUCAUUGUCCAUUAUACUAAUUAGAAUUAAAUUUCACUUAAAACGCCCGUAGCAUCGCGCGGGCAUCAUUAAUAUAUUUGAAGGGUAAACUUCAAAAAUUAUUAUUAUAUUUGAAAAAAAAUAUUAUUACCAUGGAAGAAAAACCAUAAUUGUUUUUUUGGUCCUACUGCCACCAAGACCAAAUGGCUUUGGGUCCUGCUGCACGUAUUAAAGUUGGGUUCUGUCCCCAGCAGGACCUAAGACUUUAAUUUGUUUUUCAUAUGGUAAAUAGAAAAUAAAUAGAUUUGAAUUCUUACACCUGAUUUAAAUUUAUUUUCCAAAAUAAAUUGAUGAGAGUUUUUUUUAUAUUGUAUAAAAGUUGGGUGAUGAUAAUUUUUUUUUUCGUUUCAAGUUGGGUUGAAUUUUCCAAUUAAAUCAUGAUAUUUUUUAAUGUUUUUAAAUUAUUUUUUAAAAAAAAAAGAUGUUGAGAUUGUGUCCAACUGUGAAACUAAACCCAAGAAAUUUUCAAAUUUUAAUUUUUUCCUUUACUUCAAAUAAUUUUUUUUUUUCAUAUCUAUUAAUUCUGAUUAAUAAAAGAGAUACAAUCUAUUCAUUUGAUUCGCUAUCACAACCCAAUAGCAGAUCUGUGGGCAUUGGGACUGCUUUGCUCCUUCUCUAUGCAUAUUUGUUGGGUCUGGCUUGGGUUUGCCAGGGCAGCUGGAACCAAUAUCCUAUUUUUAUAUUCUAAAAAAAUGAGGUGAUGAUAAUGUUUUUUUUUGUUUUUCGACAAUGCUUUGAAAAAAAAUUGAUAAUUUUUUAUUUCUUUCUUUACUUCAAAUUAUUAUUUCAUCCUUAGUUCAUAUUAAAAUGUUUUUGUAUUAUUUUGAUGUGAUUAUAUAAAAAAUAAAUAUUUUAAUAUAUUUUUUAAAAAUUAUUUUAAGAUAUUUCCAAUUUUUUUUCCUCUUGAUAUGUUUUUUUUCUUUUAUUGAUGAUAUUUGUUUUUUAUUUCAGGUUGGGUUAAAUUUCCUUAUUAAAGCAUGUUUGUUUUUGCAUUUCAAAAAUGCUUUGAAAAAAUUUUGAAAUUUUUUUAUUGUUUUCUUUACUUCAAAUUAAUAUUUUUGAUGUUUUUGUAUUUUUUUUAAUAUUGAGAUUGGGUAUGACUAGGCUGUCAGACCCAAGGAGAACAUAUUCAGUUGGGUCCUGCUAAGUAGAGCCAAGUCGAGCUGGGUCCUACCCCAGAAAGACCCAAAAUCGCUUUGAGUGCUCCUGCGGCUGGACCCAUCAGCCUUAACUCUUGGUAUAAGUAGGACCCAUCUGUGUGGGUCAUGUCCGUAGCAGGACCCAAUGCUUUCAAAGCAGUGGUGGGCUGUCCUCCAGGACCCAUCGGUGUGGGUCAUGUCCGUAGCAGGACCAAAUGCUUUCAAAGCAGCUGUAACACCCCACCCCACUAGUAAGAUAUUGUCUGCUUUCGCCCACGGACCUCACGGAUUUGUUCUUGACAGCCACGCAUAACCCCAAAAUGUGUCUUACUAGUCAAGGUGAGCAUGCUCAUAUAAGGCCUUCUCUCAAGUCCUCACCCGCCGAUGUGGGAUAUUACAAUCCACCCCCUUAAGGAGCCCGACGACCCCGUCGGCACCAUCGAAUAGCCAGUAAGUCGGGCUCUGAUACCAAAUGUCAUAGUCCGGCCCAACCUGCCAGAUAUUGUCUACUUUGGGCCUUAACACCCUCAUGGAAAUGUCAUAACCCGGCCCAACCUGCAAGAUAUUGUCCAUUUUGGGCUUUACCGCGCUCACGGAUUUGUUCUUGGCAGCCACGCAUGGCCGCAAAACGCGUCUGACAAGUUAGCAAUCAGCACUACUAAUAAGGGCAGCAACCAACUCCUCACCCGCCGAUGUGGGAUAUUACAAUCCACUUCCCUUAAGGAGCCCGAUAACCCCGUCGGCACCAUCGGGCAGCUAGUGAGGUCGGCUCUGAUACCAAAUGUCACAGCCCGCCCCACUAGCAAGAUAUUGUUCGCUUUGGCCCAUGGACCUCACGGAUUUGUUCUUAGCAACCACACAUGAUCUCAUAACGUGUCUUACUAGUCAAGGUGAGCAUGCUCAUAUAAGACCUUCCCUCAAGUCUUCACCCGCCGAUGUGAGAUAUUACAGUAAUGGUGGGCUGUCCUUCAGGUCAGUGUGGGUCCUGUCCGUAGCAAAACCCAAUGCUUUUAAAGCAGCGAUGGGCCAUCCUUCAGGACCCAUCAGUGUUGGCUCCUGCGACAAGCAAGACCCAUCAAAAAGCGUUGGGUCCUGCCCUAAGAAGAACCCAAUACUGUAAUGUGUUUUUUUUUUCUUUUUUUUUUCACAUGGUAAAGAGAAAAUAUUAUUAUAUUAUUGUUAUUGUUAUUGUUAUCAUUAAUAAUUUCAAAGAAAAAAAGGGAAUUUGUUUGAAGAGGAAAGGGCUGCAAAAAAUUUAGGAUUAAGAAACACUGCACCAGGCUGGUAUAUAAAAAUUCAUUGUAAGAAAUUAAGCUACACAGCAGUAAAGCCAUUUAAAGAUAACAGGACAGACAGGAAAUAAAGGAAAUGUGAAUUAGCAUGAAAUCCUAUAACAGGAACAAGAGAAUGCUCUGUUCUCUCUCCUCUUUCUCUAAUUUAAUUUAAUCAAGGAAUCUCUUUCAAAGAAUGGGAAAACUGUCCCUGUUGUGACUGAUUUUAUCUUCUGUGCAUUAUUGAUCAACCUUCAUAAAGUGGCUCAGAGGAUUGAACAGUUUGAUGCACCUGAAGAUGUUUUUCAAGCCAUUGUCGGAAAUGCAGUAAGGUUGAAUGGCAAUGGAAGCAAUGCUGAAGAUAUUCUGCAUGAGUUUAACACAAUGAGGAUUUAGCCAGUGUAAGUUUUAUGAGACCUAUCAGCUUUAGGUACCCAUCAAAAAACAUUGGUCCUAUUUCAACAGGACCCAAUAUUGUAAUGUGUGUUUUUUUUUCUAAUUUUUUUUACAGGUAAAGAGGAAAUAUUAUUAUUAUUAUUAUUAUUAUUAUUAUUAUUAUUAUUAUUAUUAUUAUUUUAUUGUUGUUUUUAUCAUUAAUAAAUUCAAAGAGAAAAAAUUAUUACGAUCGAAGAAAAACCAUAAAUUUUAUUUCAAGAGAUUAAAUUAAAAAAUAUAAAAAUUUGGGGCAGACAAAUUUAAUAUUAUUAUUAAUAUUAAAAAUAUUAUGAAGAAAAGAAAAAGGAGAAGCCGCUCUACGAGCGGUUAUUAAGCAAAGCAUCAUCAAAAAAAAUUUGAUUUGCAUCAUAUACUUUAUAAAUUUUUGGUAUUAUAUAAGGGAAUUUUUGAACACUACAAUCAAUUAAAAAAUAAUUUAUAAAUUUUAUAAUAUAAUUUUAUUUUGGAUAAUAGAAGAUAUGUUAAUUUUAUAACAUUGGUGUAUGAGAUUCAAAGUUUUAUCAAUAUUUUAUUGUCUUUAGGUUUUCUAUUCAAUGGUUUUGAAUUAUAUAUAUUAUUAAAUACAUGUAAUAUUGGAUAAAAUUGCUUUGGGUCCUAACAUAUGCAAGAUCCAAUUGGGUAUUUUUCUUUGCUAUUUUGUUUUUGUCAGAACCCAAUGCUUGCAAAUUUUUUUCUUUGCUCUCAUGAAAAAAAAUUAAAUGUUUUAACAACGUACGAUCAAGUAUCUCUAAAAUUCAAAAAUCAUGUUUUUGCUUAAAAAAUAUAAAAAUACUUGAUGUGUUUUAGCAUUUUUAAAAAAUAUAUAUUUGUAUAUAUUUUAUAUUUAAUAAUUAGGAGGCGACUUCCUAACCCCUGACAUCACGCAUCCAUGUGGUUACUGUUCUUUUCAUGGAGGGAGCCAAAAAAACAGAGAAGUGAGACCAUACAAGCGUGUGGAGGGACAUGGUCUGAGACAGGCUACCGAAUAUGGAACAUGCCUUGGCAGGAAAAUAUAGCAGAGGAAAUGAAAGUAAAAUUUAGAUUCGGCUGUAUGCAGGGUUGUUGGGUCCAGUGAGUGCAAGACCCAAAAUAGCUUUGGAUCUACUAGCUGCAGGAUCUAAUUGGGUGUUGGCAUGUAUAAUAAAAAAUCCCCACACGUUUGAAUGUAUAGGAUGGCAUCUUAUUUCAUCUUGUUGAUUUUUUUUCGUACACUAGAUUAUCCAGAAAAUCAAUUAGACGCAAAUUAAUAAAUUUGAAUAAAGAUUUCAUGCACACACAUGGUAUCCUAGAUUGCAUUGUUUUGUUUUUUACAGUUACAACACAUGUAUAAAAUGUAAUAAAGAUGCCAUGCAUUCAUAGAAUGUUGUUAAACUUUCAAACACACACACAUAUAUAUAUAUAUAUAUAUAUAUAUAUAUAUAUAUAUAUAUAUAUAGUUUAACGUGGAUGUCCGGGCCAGCUUGCGCACACCUCGACUAAUCCUACAGGCCCUGAAGUUAACGACCAUGUAAGUCUCCAGUGGCCAUCAUAUGAGCAACCACAGGGCUCGAACCUGAGACCACAGAGGGAGCAAACCUCUUGGUCCCAAGCUCUUACCACUAGGCCACUACCUAGAUGGUUACUUUCAAAUAUAUAUUUGUUUGUCAUGCAUCCUGACCCAACACUCAAUUACGUCCUACACAUGUCAGGAUCCAAAGUAAUUUUACCCAAUAUUACAUAUAUUUAAUAAUAUAUAUAAUUCAAAACUAUUGCAUGAAAAAUCUAAAGAUAAUAAAACAUUGAUAAAACUUUGAAUCUCAUACACUAUCAUCUAUUAUCCAAAAAACAAUUAUAUUAUAAAAUUAUAAAUUAUUUUCUAAUUGAUUAUAGUGUUAAAAAAUUCUCUUAUAUAAUACCAAAAAUUUAUAAAGUAUAUGAUGCAAAUCAAAAAUAUUUGGAGAGCUUCAUCAACUUUAAUAUGACAAUAUUAGAAAAUGAAAUUAAAAAUAAUAAAUAUCUUAAUUUGAAGUAAAGGAUAAAAAAUUAUUUUUUAAAGAAUUCUUUAAAGGUAAAAACAAACAUAUUUAAAUAAGAAAAUCCAACCGAAUCUCAAAUGGGAAAAAUUCUCAUCUACCAUUUUUAUGCAAAAAAAGACAAAACAGGAUUCGAUUUCCACACAUAAGGAAGGAAGGUUAUAUGCCUUUGACAUGUAUUUAAGCAUUUUUUAAACGCCUUUUAAUUUUAUCAGCUUGGGAUUCGAUACUAAGCUGAUGUUUUGCGUAAUAACCGCUCGUCGAGCAACUUCUCCUUUUCCUUUUCUUCCACCAGACAUUCAUUGUAGCAGCUUGCUUGGGUCCUGCUGGGCACAUGACCCAACUCUAAUGGGUCCAACAGGAUCUAACGCCAUUGGGUCUUAGUGGAAACUGGACCCAGAGCUGCCCCCAGCAAGACCUAAAAUACCUUUGGGUCCGGCUGAGAGCAGGACCUAUUUGAGUUGCGUGCUGUUGGAAGUGGACCCAUCCAUUUUGGGUCCUGCUGCAACAAGGACCCUUCAACGUUGGGUCUUGCCCACAACAGGAUCUGUAAGCGUUGGAUCUACUUAGGGCAGCACCAUCAGCGAUGGCAGGACCCAUCAGCAUUGGGUCCUGCCCCCAACAGGACCCAAUAGCGUUGGGUCCUACUAGGCAGCCGGAAUUAGGACCCAACAGCUAUGGGUCUUGCCUCCCACCUCACCAUGACCCAACGCCCAAUUGGGCCCUGUUGCCACUGGACCCAACAGCUUUGGGCCCUGCCUACCAUCGUGACCCAACACCCAAUUAGGCUUUUCUAGCACUAGGACCCAACAGGCAACAUCUUUGGACCCUUUGUUAACCAGGACCCAACAGCUUGAGCCAUGCCCAGAACAGAACCCAACGCUUUGGGUCCUGCUAAAAGGUCAGGCCUAACAGCAUUGGGUGAGUUUCUUUUAUUCAAAAUUUGAGCCUACAAUUGACCCGGAGUAAACCAGUCGACCUGUCGGGUCAACCCAAAACUCAGGUGAUCUGGCAAAAACCCGGAAGGAACCCUUUUUUUUCAAAUGUAUUUUUUCUCCUACCCUAGACCUUUAUUCUUUUAUAUUUUCUAGAUGGUUUAAAUACAAAAUAAAUUGACAUGACGGGUUAAAAAACCAAAAACUAAAAAAAAUAGACAAAACAUCCUCCUUUUUUUUUAGGAGCUUUUUUAAAUUUUUUUAAUUAUUUGACAACCACACAUUGUCUAACCAAAUCCAAUUCUUUCUCAAUCUGUUCCUCAAAAAAUCUGAUUCAUGCAGAUUAUUCCCCCAACUAACGAAGAGGUCUUGGUGGAAUUGCCACGUAUGAAAUUAAGCAACAAUUUUGCAAAGAAAUAGCCCAUUUCUUCUCGAGAAGAGAUGGGAAACAUGCUCAAUAUCAUUUAAUUGAAUAGAAAUUAAAAAUAAUAAUAAUUAUUAUUAUUAUUAAAAUUAUCACCAUUAAUAAAUUUGAAAAAUAAUAUUAUUACUAUCAAAGAAAAAUAAUAAAUUUUAUUUGAAGGGGUUAAACACUUGGGCCAAAAAAAUUUAAUAUUAUUAUUAAUAUUAUAAAUAUUAUUAAAUUCAUUAAUAUAUUCAAUUUUAAAUAUAUUUUAUUACUAUUGAAAAAAAACAUAGAUUUGAUUUGAAGGAUAAAAUCAAUUAUUAUUAUUAUUAUUAACUUGGGUUUGGCAUCCCUACUAUUUAGUAAAUUUAAAAUUGUUAUGAAUAUGAAAAAUAUUAUUAUUUCUAUUAUAAAUAUUGUUAUUUUUAUUAUAAUUAAUAUUAAAAGUAUUAUUAUUUGUACUAUAAAUAUUCUUAUUGUUAUUAUAAUUAAUAUUAUUAAUAUAGUAAUUAACAAAUUUGAUAAACAAAUUUGGUAUUGAAAAACAACUAUAGAUUUAAUUUAGAGGCUAAACUUAAAAAUUAUUAUUAUUAUUAUCAUUAAUAAAAGAAUUUUUUUUCCAUUUGAGAUUUAGUUGGAUUUCCUUAUUUAACCAUGUUUGUUUUUGCCUUUCAAAAAUGCUUUUAAAAAUAAAUAAAAAAUUCCUACACUUCAAAUUAAGAUUUUUAUUAUUUUUAAUUUCUUUCUCUAAUAUUGUCAUAUUAAAGUUGAUGGAGCUCUCAAAAACUUUUUGAUUCGCAUCAUAUACUUUAUAAAUUUUUGGUAUUAUAUAAGAGAAUUUUUGAACACUACAAUCCAUUAAAAAAUAAUUUAUAAAUAUUAUAAUAUAAUUUUAUUUUGGGUAAUAGAAAAUAUGUUAAUUUUAUAACAUUAGUAUAUGAGAUUCAAAGUCUUAUCAAUGUUUUAUUGUCUUUAGAUUUUUAAUGCAAUGGUUUUAAAUUAUAUAUAUUAUUAAAUACAUACAAUAUUAGGUAAAAUUACUUUAGGUCUUGACGUGUGCUGUACCAAAAUAGCUUUGUGUCCUGCCGGAUGCAAAACCCAACGCCCCUGGGUUUGGACCCAACAUUCUUAGAUCUGGUUGACAUUUCAAGACCCAGAACACUUUUCAAAGGUGUCAAUAGCAUUGGGCCCUACCUACCAGCCAGACACAACAGAGUAUUCUCAACACCUAAUUGGGUCCUGCACCGGCUGGACCCAACACCCACAUGGGUCCUACACCAACGAACUCAAAGUAAUUGUAGGUCUUGCACAUGACAGGCUCUAGAGGUAAUAGCUUUGGCUCAAAUCUAUUCCUCAUGAGUUAUGCCACUCAACUUCUCUGCUGCGUCUAAAUAUUAACAGCUCUCCUAAACUACAAUCAAGUGAACUCCCGUCUCUUUCUGAGAAUAACGCAUCUUUGCCCAUGGCUUGGCUACGCAGCCUAACAUCUUUACAAGAAUGGAAAUUGGGUCCUGCUAAUCAGCAGGGCUGUUUCUGGACCUUAUAUCAGACCCAAAGCUAUUAGGUUUGGCUUGCACCAAAUUCAAUACCCUUAAAAAAUUCUAUACUAUUUGUUAUUGACCCAUUGCGAAGCGCGGGCCAAUAUGCUAGUCUUCUUUGAAAUGGAGUGGAACUAAUGUUGAUACCAUGUACCUUGUAGCUUCUAGUUCUAUGAGUUUAUGAAUGCUUGUAAUUUGUAAGUGUGGAGUAAUUAUUAAUGGUAAAUUACUUUGAGCAUUCUAUAGUUUGAUUAUUUUUUUUACUAACUCAAUCUAAGUAAAUUUUAAAAAUAUCACGGCCUUUAUUUAAAUUUAAGUUUAUUGGAUUAUUAUUAUUUAUUAGGUUUAUCUAUAUCCAUUAAAAAUAUCUUAUUAGACUUAAGAUUCUUUCUAGUAUAAAUAUUUUUUGUAAAGAUUUUUUUAGGUUAGACUAUUUAAAAAAAAAAUGGUAUUCUUGCUAUCUUCUAUAGUUGAUUGAUUCUCCUACUAAAUUCUUGAUUGAAUUUGUAAAACUCUUUGAAUGAUUGAUCAAUUUUAUUAUGUUUUUAUAUUUACUCGUUCAUGUUUUUUUAUAGGCAUAAAAUGAAGGUGAUCAUUAAAUAUAAUUUUGGUUAUUUACGAUAAGUUCUUGUUGAAUCAAGUUGUAAAUUAUUUAAAUCUAAUUUUAACCUGUCUUGCAGGUGACUCAUAAAAUAUUACAGAAGUCUAAGAAGAAAAUAAAUUAUCACGAAAACAAUAUAAUUAAAGUAAAAAAAAAUAUAAAAAAAAAGAGAGAGAAAAAAGCACCUGAUAACUUUGUUUUCACCAAUCAUAGGACUAGCAGCCAGAGAAAUUCCCAAGAGCAGCACCAUGCAGCCUUUCAUCCAAUAAAAACUAGAAAAUCAAUUACAAGAAACAAAAUGAAUUUAAUUUAAUAAUUAUUAAACGAAUACCAAGCAGAUGAUACUGUUCGAUGUUGUACAGUAUCCAAAUUCUUAACUCUCCGUACGUAGAACUGCAAAAUCUUAAAUAAAUAUUAAGUUUAUUUUAAGAAAAAAUCAGUGAAAAUGGUAGUUACACGGUGAAAAGUAAAGGCUAAAAAAUUAGAAGGAUGGACAGAGGCGCGAUGGCCUCUAAAGAGUCCAAGACAGCUACUGGAUCUGGAGGUGGCCCUUUCGUCGCUCGUUCUUCGAUUAUUAUCAUUACAAUGUGGAUUCGCAAUAUACAAUCCAAUUAUUAUUUUUUGUUCGUGAAGCUUUUUCUAUUUUAAAUAUCAUUUUUUUAAAUCCAUCCAUAUAAAUUAUAUUAAUGAGAUUUAGAUAUAAUAAUUAAUCUCAAUUAGCUUUAUAUAUAUAUAUAUAUAUAUAUAGAAGUUCUUGAUAUAAAAAAAAUCUUAAUAUUAAGCAAUAAAAUUAAGUUUUAUUUUGCCAAUUAAGUAUUUAACUUAAUAUUAAGAUUUUUUUUAUAUCAAGAACUUCUAUAAAAAAUUAUAUAUAUAUAUAUUUAUUGUUCAUGAGGCAUGGAUCUUUAAAUUUUGGCCCUGUAUUUUUUAUUUUUUUUAUUAAAGUUUGAUAUUUCAUUCCUACACUUUAUUUACUUUGCAUUUCAGACCUUCAAUUUAAUGAGAAAAAUAUAAGUCUCUUGAAAAUAGUUAAGUGAAAAUAAUGGUUAGUUGGCCAAAUUUUAAAAAAUAAAAUUGAAUUUGAUGUUAAUAUGUUUCUCUUUAUAAGAAAAGUGCAACUGAUAUGUUUUUAAGUUUUUAUAUCACUGAAAAGUAGAUUAAAUUGAAAAAUAAUUUUUUCAGUUUAAGUUUGUGAUUUUUUAUUGAUUUAGGAGUAUUUUGAGUUAAAAAUUAAUUUAUUGAGAUUUAAAAAUUUUUAUUAGAUAUUUUUAUAUAAAAAUAAAUUAAAAGUUUUUUGAACCAAAAAGGGAAUCGAAUUUCCAACCACCUCUUAUGUGGGCGCAAAUUAGACCAGUAAACAACAAAUAGUAUGUUUUGUUAUUUUGUUUUUUUUAAAAAAAAAACAAUGGUAGUCCACCAACUUAAAAAGUAUAGGUGGCAAGGUCCACUUCUUUGUUAAGCACCAGUCCACUUCUUUUUGUUGAAACCUUUAAGGUUAUUUUUCUUUAAUUUUUAUUAAAAUUAAUUAAUUAAAAUUAUAUUAAGGAUAUUAUUUUAUUAAAUAUCAUUCUAUUUUUAUUUAGUUUUCAAAUAAAAUUAUAAAGUUCUUUUUAUAUAUUAGUUAUUGUUGUUAUUGUACAACCGUUUCAUUAAAUUUUAUUUAUUGAUUUAUUUUAGCAUGUAUUUUUUUUAUUAUCAUAUAAUUAAAUAAAAAUAAACUCUAAAAAGUUCUCCACGACAACACCAUGACAACGCAUGAGAAAUUUAUUAUUUUUAUAUUUUUUAAUACAUCUACAUCAAAACCAUAAAAAACAUCUUUUUAAUAAAACUUGUUUUUAUGAUUUUGAUAAGCUUUUCUUUAUAAAAAAAUAAAUAAUCUAGUGCAAACAAUUCCAAGAAAAAAGAGAAACAUAUUAAUAAGAUAAAGAUAUUUUAACUAAUAAAAUACCUUUUUAUCCUUAUUUAUGAUCGUUCAAUUUUUAUAUAUAUUUAUUCUAAUUUAUUUUUAUUUUAUCAAAUAAAGCACAUAGUACAGAAAAAACUAUAUUUUUUUGUAGAAGAAAAAAAUUAAUAAGAAAAGAAAAAAAUUAAACGAUCAUAUUACUUUGUUUGCAAUCAAAUGAUACAAUUAAAACUCUUUAUAAUAAAAUAAUUAAAAUUAUAUUUGAGAUAUUAUUUCAUUAGAUACCGUUUAUGAUUAUGAAUAUUUUAUAAAAAUAAAGUUCAAAUCAUUAUAGAUUUUGCAAAUUCUUUCUUUAAAAUGGAUGCACAUGUUUUUAAUGUUUUAUAUGGGAAAUUUGAAUUUACUUUUUUUUACUCUUUAAGAAUCUUCGAGAUUUUAGGGUUUUAUUAAAAAAAUAAUUAUUAUUUAACAUUAUUAAUAAAUCUAAUGACCACUUAAUGAGAUUUUCUCAAUAACUUUAAUGGGUGAACAUGCUUAAUUUUUUAAGUGUUUAGGAGUUUAAUAGUUAUGUUUUCAUGUGAAUUUCAUUUGAAAAGGCAUUAUGUUUGGCAAUGCAGUUGGGUUUUGUUUUUGUCAAAAUUUAAAUUUUUUUUAUUUAAAAUUAAUUUUUUAUGAUAUUUAUGGAUCAAUUUGAUGUACUAAUAUUAAAAUUAAAUUUUAAAAGAUAAAAAAAUAUUUUUUCAGUUCUUUAUAUUAAUUUUAAUGUGCUAAAAUAAAAAAUAAAAAAAUAUUUUAAUAUAUUUUUAAAUUAAAAAACACUAUUAAAAAUGAGUUUCACGGCGGUAUCUAACGCAUUCAACACAUGUAAAUAGCUUCCUUUUCGCGUUUGACGUGGCCUCAACAGCUGUGAUCCAAUAGUCGAUGGUUUUUUGAGAUUGACUACAAAAGUCAAUAUCUACCGUGUCUAGGUUGUAUACUCAAUGAUUCAUGUAUUCCUUUCGACGUGGUUGGUAAUUUUUUUUUUCUUAUGAUAAACUUAUUCUUGGAAUAGUCUUUACAUUAUCUAAAAUUAAGUUUUUUUUUGAAUAAUUUUAAAAACACACCUUUCUCACAUCUAUCCAACAAUUUUAAAUAAAUUUAAUAAAUAUUCUCUUAAAUGACUUUAAAAUUUAAACAAGAAAAAAAAAUUAAUCAUUAGGUAAAUUUCUUGAAGUUAACUGAGGUGGCUGCUAUCCAUCUUUCAUGGUCGUUGGCCCCAUGAAAAAUGAUUUUUUUUAUUAAUUUAUUUUUGUUUUUAUGAAUUAUUCUAUGAUAUAUAUAUAUAUAUAUAUAUAUAUAUAUAUAUAUAUAUAUAUAUAUGAAAGCAAAUUAAAACUCCCUUCUCUUAUUACUUAUAGAUAAUGCUUCUUGUACAUUGCCAUAAAAAAAGAAAAAAAAAAACCCUGCGGUUUUUAUUAUUCCAAAUACACAAAUCCUGUAUUCCAACUAUGUAGGAAGUGAACACCAUUAAUUGGUUUGCCGGUGCUUUUUUUCAUCUGAGAGAAGCUGAGCAAACUUGGCAAGAGCUGCUUCGUUCGUGCGUCCUCCUUCAAUUUCUUCAUACUUGCCAGUGUCCAAAUUCACUCUUGACUCUGUCUUCUUUAGGAGUUCAGCUCCAAUCUCUUUAAGCCUUUGCAAGUUCUGGGGAGUUGCAAUGUCAACAGAUGCUGCAUCCCCGCUCAAUUUGUCAUCCUGUUAAUCCCACACCAGCAAACUCCAUUUUAGUUACGAUUGCUUUUCAUAUAAUCAUGUCACCCUGUCUUGUUGGAAUUGUUUUGGACUAAUUAAUUCAAAAAAAUAUUAUGGUCGCAAAAAAAUAAUCCCUUUUAUAUAUACCUGAAUACGUAGGUAACAUUCCUUUGAGUCCAGAGACUGGAAGAGGGUGGAGAUAUGAUAGUCAACCAUAUCAGAGCUUGCACUACUAAACAUGUCUAUAAUUGGUGUUUUGCCACCGUUAUAAACCCAAUUGAUCAUGCUCCAAUUAGCGGCUGUGGAUGCAUUAUAUUUCUCUUCAAACUUGGCUUCUCCAGUUCCUAGCGAUAAGACUAGCAUACCCUUUUUCUCUGUGGGUUCCACGCCAGGAAAUUCACCGGUAUGCAUCCUGAUCUGGUUGCGGAUCUCAGAUAUGGCCAAUAAUGCCUGUGGAUGAUUGGAUUGAAUUGGUUACUCUUAGCCAUGCUAUUGUAAACUGUAAGUACUUUUUCAUGUAACCUAGCUAGAUACUUACAGGGUUAUUUGCCGCAACCGCACCAUCAACCAGGUCGAAAUUGCGAGCGGACGUUCCAUUGGGAUCCUUGGUCGUGAAGAAGUGUGCUGGCAAGUACGUUGGAGCUGCAGAGGUGGCCACACAAAUGUCUGCUAGCCUAGCAUUUUUCAAAGCAUUAGUCUUUCCCUGUAAAACAAAAGAAAAAUUAAAGAUCACUUAAUUUGUGACUUUCGAAGUACAGAAAGAUUUUUCUAACUGGCUUAAUAGAUACUAGCAUCAU
rnacentral:lncRNA from 1 species